AAUGAACGCUGGCGGCGUGCCUAACACAUGCAAGUCGGAUGUGCCGCAAGGUGCAUGGCAGACGGGUGAGUAACGCGUGGGGAACCUACCUCUUCGUGGGGAAUAACGAUCCGAAAGGAUUGGUAAUACCGCAUGAGACCGACGGCUGGGAUGCUGUCGGUGAAAGCUGGGGACCGGAAACGGCCUGGCGCGAGGAGAGGGUCCUGCGUCUGAUUAGCUAGUUGGUGGGGUAACGGCCUACCAAGGCAUCGAUCAGUAGCCGGCCUGAGAGGGUGAUCGGCCACACUGGAACUGAGACACGGUCCAGACUCCUACGGGAGGCAGCAGUGGGGAAUUUUGCGCAAUGGACGAAAGUCUGACGCAGCAACGCCGCGUGGGUGAUGAAGGUCUUCGGAUUGUAAAACCCUGUCGUCGGGGACGAAGGUAGGAGGGUUAAUAGCCCUUUUGCUUGACGGUACCCGGAGAGGAAGCCCCGGCUAACUCUGUGCCAGCAGCCGCGGUAAAG
rnacentral:rRNA from 1 species